rnacentral:lncRNA from 1 species
CUGGUCUCGAACUCCUGGGCUCAAGCGAUCCACCCGCCUUGGCCUUCCAAAGUGCUGGGAUCACAGGCAUGGGCCACCGUGCCUGACCUGGUGGCCUGGCCUUUAUAAUUUUUUUCAAGCUAAAAUCAUAUCAAAUGUGCUAUGAGAAAUAAGACGUUAGGACUUCUAUUUUGCAUCUAUUCACUAUUCAUCUGAUUAAAUGACUUCAGAAAUCAUUAUUGCAGAAAAUCCUGGCCUUUCCAGUGGGUACAGUUUCAGCUCACUCAGUGGGUAGGUUGGUCUUCUCUCCUGGUUUGGUUCAACUUCCACAGAAAGAUGUAAAACAGCACCAGUGUCUGCCGAGUUUCACUAUGUCUACUCAGCUGGCCUUAUUCCUAACUCCAUUACAUUUUCUUGUCUUUUCUCUUCUUUCACCCUCAUUUUUAUUCAUUUUAUGUAGGAUUUUUGUGUCCUCCUUAAAGUCCUUUAACUUUUGAUUUCACCCUCUCACCCCAAUCUGCACCUUCUCCAGUCUUCCCUAGAUCAGUGAAGGAUAUGACCACCCAGUCAAUUACUCAAGUGAAAAAUUUCAGAAUUACCUUUGAGUCCUCUCUCUGACCCACUACAUCCCAUCCAUCACCAAGCCCCUUGACACUGCUUCCAUAACAUCUGCCUAGUCUAUCCAUUUCAAUCCAUUCAUGCUACUACCUACCCACACCACUGUUGUCAUUCAGCUGGGCUGCCACAGAAAUUUCUAUCUGGUUUCUUCUUGCUUGUCUAUAGUUUCCACACAGAAACCAAAGAGAGCUUUGUUAAAACAUAAAUCAGAUCACAUCACUCCCCUGCUUAAAAACCUCCAGUGACCUUUUAUUCCACUUAGAAUAAAAUCCAUAGUCUUGCCCCUGUGUCAUCUGGCCUACGUGGAGUUCUUUGAUCCUAGCCUUUACUGCCUUAUCAUCUCUCACUGUGCACCAGCCAUACUGGCUUUCUUCAUAUUCUUCUUACAAACAUUUUCAUCUGAAAGUCUUAGUGCUAGCUAUUCCUUCUGCUUGUAAUACUCUUCCCCUGAAAUUUGCAUGGCCACCAUUUUUUUAAAAUGUAUUUCAUAUUUUGCCCUUUAAUUUUAAUAAAUAAUUUAAAAUAUUUUAGAAGAAAAUAUUGAAAACAUGCAAAUUCCUUUUUUACAUUUAUUUACAUUUACAUUACAAUUUUUAUCUUUUAUUAUUAUGGAUCCAUAUUAGUUGUACAUAUUUAUGGGAUACAUGUGAUAUUUUGAUACAAUCAUACAAUGUCUAAUAAUCAGAUCAGAGUAAUUGGGAUAGCCAUCACCUCAAGCAUUUAUUUGUCUGUGUGUGUGUAUGUGUGUGUGUGUGUGUGUUAAGAACAUUCCAAUUCCACUCUUCUAGUUAUUUUGAAAGUUACAAUAAAUUAUUGUUAACUAUAGUUGCCUUAUUUUGGUACCAAACACUACAUCCUUUUAUCUCACUAUAUUUUUGUACCCAUUAGCGAUCCCCUUUCUAUCUCCCUGUCCCUACUACUCUCUUAGCUUCUGGUAACCACCAUUCUAUUCUCUAUCUCCAUUAGUUCAACUUUUUUUUUUUAGCUCCCACACAUGAGUGAGAACAUGCAAUAUUCGUUUUUCUGUGCCUGGCUUAUUUCACUUAACAUAAUGGCCUCUAGUUCCAGUCAUAUUGUUGUAAAUGACAGAAUUCCAUUAUUUUUCGUGGCUGAAUAAUAUUCCAUUGUAUAUCCAUAUCACCAUUUUCUUUGUCUGUUCAUCCAUUGAUGGACACUUAGAUUGAUUCCACCUUGGCUAUUGUGAAUAGUGCUGUAAUAAAAAUGGGAGUGCAGAUAUAUUUUCGAUAUGGUGAUUUUCUUUCUUUUUGGAUUUUCUUUCUUUCAACAGGUGGGGUUGCUGGAUCAUAUGAUAGUUCUAUUUUUAGCUUCCUACUGUUCUCCCUAAUGACUGUGCUAAAUUAUAUUCUCACCAACAGCAUAUGAGGGUUACCCUUCCUUGACAUUCUCACCAGCAUCCAUUCUUGGCACAGCCACUAUCUUUGUCAUUCAGCUCUCAGCCUCAAUGUAUUCCCUAACUACCCUAUAUGAAGUAGCUUCUGGGUCACUAUCACUGUCACACCCUAUAUUGCAUUUAUCUGAUAUUUCUGGGAGUUUUUUUUUGUAUAGUUGUUUUCUGUCUUGUUUGCUGCUGAAUUUCCUUAUAUCUAGAAUAGUGUUUGGCUCACAAUAAAUAUGUAUGUAAUUGAAUAAAUGAAUCUUGCUUUCUCAACUUUAUUCCCUGUCCACAAUACUGAACAAUAUUUCUGUGGAGAAUAAUAAGACCAAAGACCAGAGGUAGAUUGACUUUGUAUGGAGACAGAAAGGCUAAAAAACAGUAAGAGAAAAUGACCUGACUAGAGAGGAACAUCCUUGUUGAAAGAUAGUAAGAGACAAGUUAGUAAAAUCUUAACAUCAGACUCAGAACGUGGAUCAAAUCUGAUAAGUUAUAGAAGCCUCUUCCUAAACCUGGGGAAACAUAGACUAUGAACUCUAUGACAUCAGGGAUGUUUGUUUUGGUCACUGUUAUGAAUCCAAUACAUAGGAGAGUACUGAAACACAGAAGGUGUUCAACAAAUAGUUGAAGGCAUAAAUUAGUGAAUAAGCAUGAUAUAAUCUGUAGGAUGCUUUGUUUGGAAAUAGUUUGAAAGAUACAACAGAGAUAGGAAGACUGUAGAAUAGACUUUUCAAAAUCUAGACCACAGAUUAUAUUUAAGUGACUUAUUAAAAUUCAGUUUCCUGUGCCUUUCCUAAGACCUACUAAAUAAUCUAAGACUGGGGCCAAGAAUCUGUAUGUCAUGAGUUUCCCAGGUCCUUAUCUGCAAACUAAAGUUUGAGAAUGACUGCCCUACAGGAGGAAAAAUGAUGGAAGUACUAAAGUGGGAUCUAUAUUUGCGGGACUCAAGAGAACUUGCCAGAAUUUUAUGACGUACAGAAAAGAGUCAAAAUGACUAAGUUUUCAAUCUGGCAGGCAGAGAGAAUAAUGCCACCAUUGGUAGAACAUAGGAAACUUGUGCAUUAGUAUGAAAAGGUCUUCUCAUUUUAAAAACUUAUAAGGUAAUAGAUUUUCACCUUUUGGAAAACAGUGCGAAGGCAUAUGUAAAGGUGAAGUGUGAGACUAAGCUAGAAAAAUUAUGUGCUUCCAAAACCAUGGAAGGUGCUGCACUAUAAUAAAUAGCAAAGAUAUGGCCACUGUAUUCUAGAGCAUGAGGGUGCAAAGACAAAUUAGUCUCAUUUCUUAUUGUCAAAAUCUAUAUUAAAGGCAUGUUACUCCUGUUUAUUUUGUAGUGAACACAUUCCAUAUGUCUCAGUAAAUAGUUCUUUGUGCAAUAGAUCCUUGAAAUUGGCUUCCUCCCAGCCAUGAAACAGAUAUGGCAUUGGAGCAAUGCUAGAAAGCAAGAAAGGAAUGCCAGAGAUCUAAUUUGAGGAAAGAUCUGAAUGCACAUGUCUCUGGUAAACAUCUUAGAAAGUUGUUCAGUUUUCCAUGGUUCGGAUUUUAUUUAUAAUUCUUAGUCUUUAGAAUAUAGAAUCCAUACUUAGCAGAUUUUUUUUAAUGUAAAGAUGAGCUGAGGCCAGUAUAUGCUACUCAUGAGAAGAAUUCUUUAAACGUGGCACUACUUUUGGCACGUGUUAGCCUCUGCCUUUGUGUUAUGGGAAACCUAACGUUUAGAAUACCCGUGAGUUGAAUACCCAAAAGUAAACUAUCCCUUCCCACCAUGAAGCAUAGAUCUUUAAUAUAUACUUACAGAAUUUUCAACAUAAAACCCCAAAUUCUUCUUGUCAGUUUUCAGUUAACCACUGUCAUAUGAGAAAAGAAGUCAAAGGAGAGAGGCCCGCUGGUAGAAGUGAGUACUAGAACAUGCCUACAACUACACUCGGGAGACUGCUUGCUUCGCUACAACCAUUUUGGAAGCUCUGAUUUUUUUAUUUGAGUUCAGUGCAAAGUUAAAGGGACUGUAUUAGAAGAUUCUUUGUGAAUUGUUCUGCAGACUGGGCCUUUCUGUUUUCUCCGCACUUGAACAAGAAGUCAUGUUGACCCCAGUUUUUUAAAAGAGCAGAAAAAAAUGAAACUACUCAUCGAAAACUUAUGCCACAAAAUUUGGGUCACACAUUAGUUAAGUGGGAGGUACAAUACCAAUUACUUCAUUGUUCCUGUCAAGGAAGCCAUGAGUCUAUCCUGCAAAAAUAAAAAAAAUUUAAAAAGCGAAGUAAGGCAGCAUUCUUGACAGGAACAAUUCCCUCACCAUUACCCCCACCCCCGCAAAAAAAUGUCUGGUGAGAUCAAAACAUUAAGGAAGAGAACAUAUUUAAACAUAAAAGAGGACCAGAAUGUGCCUCAUAGAUGACUAUUCUAGGCCAUCUUCCUUGUAGGAAUUCUAGGUCAGGAAACUGAUAACUGAUGAGGAAAACAGUUUGAACUUUCUAAAGCAUGCUAAUAAUUAGUAUUGAACAAAUCCCAAUUCAAAUAUUAAAAUAAGGAUCUUGAAGUUCCUUAUGCUUUCAGCCAAAAAGUAGUUGUGUACAACUUUGUAUCUGCAUAAGAUAAUCACGUUUCAGUGUCAACUACCAGAACUAUGAUAAGCUUGAACCCGCAAUAAGAAGGGAGUAAACUGACUUCUCUCAAAGACGCUUAGAUUCUCUCAGGUCUCAGCGCACUAAUUAGCAUACUACCAGUGCCUUCUUUUGCUUGGUCCCCUCAGUGCCCAAGCUGUUUAGGGACCGUCCAAUUCAGAGGAAGAGGAAAGAAGAAAUCCCUACCAGGAGGAUCAGAGCAUUGGAUAUAAACAUUGACUCAAAUACUCCAAAAGACAAAGAGCUUUUCUGUGUCCUUGACUUGUAUGAGAUGGCUAACUUUAGAAAUAUGAAGACCCUCUCUCUUCAUCUUAAUACUGUAAUACUGCUAUCAUUUUUAUUGCUUUCUCCCACAUGGAUAAAGAUCUAGUCAUGCAUUAAAAGAAAAAAAAGUUUCCUUUCUGAAAAGAGAUAUAUUUUCCUGGUUUUUCUACGUGUCAGGAACAACUGAACUCAGAAGGAAUAAUUUAGAUUUAUUUACAGUCUGAAUUCAUACAAGACUAAAUUGUGACAUUUUGUUUCAAUCAAGUUUGGCCUUACAAUUAUGCCACUUUGUCCUGAAGGUGUGUUUUUAUUUUUGUAGAUAUAUGAUGUACAGACCCUUCGUUAGUGAUAGAUAAUUAUUAAGUUUAGACAUAUGUUAAUCAUUUAGCAAACAGCUAAUAACCGAUUGCAUUUAAUGAAUGAAUCCUUUUUUAAAAACUUCAAAAUUCAACUCUCUUUAAAUUUGCUGUAUUAUUAUUUACUUUAUUCAUCAGGGUGAUUGUGCUGUGAUUACCUGGAAAUAAAUAGCCCCUAACUAACUUUGC